CACGUAGUUAGCCGGUGCUUCUUAUCAAGGUACCGUCAUCCCCACCCGGUAUUAGCGGAUAGGAUUUCUUUCCUUGCGAAAGAGCUUUACAACCCGAAGGCCUUCUUCACUCACGCGGCAUGGCUGGAUCAGGGUUCCCCCCAUUGUCCAAAAUUCCCCACUGCUGCCUCCCGUAGAAGUCUGGGCCGUGUCUCAGUCCCAGUGUGGCUGGUCGUCCUCUCAGACCAGCUACGGAUCGUCGCCUUGGUGGGCCUUUACCCCACCAACUAGCUAAUCCGGCAUCGGCCGCUCCAAUAACGCGAGGUCUUACGAUCCCCCGCUUUCCCCCUCAGGGCGUAUGCGGUAUUAGCACAUCUUUCGAUGUGUUAUCCCCCAUUACUGGGUACGUUCCGGUGCAUUACUCACCCGUUCGCCACUCGCCACCAGGUGCAAGCACCCGUGCUGCCGUUCGACUUGCAUGUGUAAAGCAUGCCGCCAGCGUUCAAUCUGAGCCAGGAUCAAACUCU
rnacentral:rRNA from 1 species